GCUGGGCAUGGUGGCGCGUGCCUGUAAUCCCAGCUACUCAGGAGGCUGAGGCAGGAGAAUUGCCUGAACCCGGGAGGCGGAGGUUGCGGUGAGCCGAGAUCCUGCCAUUGCACUCCAGCCUGGGUAACAAGACUAAAACUCUGUCUCAAAAAAAAAAAGAGUUUCCUAAAUGUUGGUAGUAUAGAGAAAAGUAUGGAGUAAAUAAUGUUUGUUUUUUUUUUUUUUAAUUGACAUGGAGUCUCACUCUGUCUCCCAAGCUGGAGUGCAGUGGCAAGAUCUUGGCUCACUGCACCCUUCAGCCCCUGGGUUCCAGCAAUUCUCCUGCCUCAG
rnacentral:SRP_RNA from 1 species